GACGAACGCUGGCGGCAGGCCUAACACAUGCAAGUCGAACGAGUGGCGGACGGGUGAGUAAUGUCUGGGAAACUGCCUGAUGGACGGGGAUAACUACUGGAAAAGGUAGAUAAUACCGCAUACGAUGAGAUGGGCCCAGAGGGGAUUAGGUUGCUGGGGGGGUAACGGCUCACCAAGGCGACGAUGCCUAGCUGGGCUGAGAGGAUGACCAGCCACACGGGAACUGAUACACGGUCCAGACUCCUACGGGAGGCAGCAGUGGGGAAUAUUUCACAAUGGGCGCAAGCCUGAUGCAGCCAUGCCGCGUGUAUGAAGAAGGCCUUCGGAUUGUAAAGUACUUUCAGCGGGGAGGCGUUACCCGCAGAAGAAGCACCGGCUAACUCCGUGCCAGCAGCCGCGGUAAUUC
rnacentral:rRNA from 1 species